rnacentral:rRNA from 1 species
GGGAUUGCCCCAGUAACGGCGAGUGAAGCGGCAACAGCUCAAAUUUGAAAUCUGGCCCCAGGCCCGAGUUGUAAUUUGCAGAGGAUGCUUUUGGCGCGGUGCCUUCCGAGUUCCCUGGAACGGGACGCCAUAGAGGGUGAGAGCCCCGUACGGUUGGACACCAAGSCUUUGUAAAGCUCCUUCGACGAGUCGAGUAGUUUGGGAAUGCUGCUCWAAAUGGGAGGUAUAUUUCUUCUAAAGCUAAAUAUWGGCCAGAGACCGAUAGCGCACAAGUAGAGUGAUCGAAAGAUGAAAAGCACUUUGAAAAGAGGGUUAAACAGCACGUGAAAUUGUURAAAGGGAAGCGCUUGUGACCAGACUUGCGYCCGGUGAAUCACCCAGCUCUCGCGGCUGGGGCACUUYGCCGGCACAGGCCAGCAUCAGCUYGCYGUCGGGGACAAAAGCUUCRGGAACGUAGCUCUCUUCGGGGAGUGUUAUAGCCYGUUGCAUAAUACCCUUCGGYGGGCUGAGGUACGCGCUCCGCAAGGAUGCUGGCGUAAUGGUCAUCAGCGACCCGUCUUGAAACACGGACCAAGGAGUCAACCUUAUGUGCGAGUGUUUGGGUGUUAAACCCCUACGCGUAAUGAAAGUGAACGCAGGUGAGAGCUUCGGCGCAUCAUCGACCGAUCCUGAUGUUCUCGGAUGGAUUUGAGUAAGAGCAUAUAGGGUUGGACCCGAAAGAAGGUGAACUAUGCGUGURUAGGGUGAAGCCAGAGGAAACUCUGGUGGAGGCUCGCAGCGGUUCUGACGUGCAAAUCGAUCGUCAAAYAUGCGCAUGGGGGCGAAAGACUAAUCGAACCUUCUAGUAGCUGGUUUCCGCCGAAG